AUGCUCACUUCAGCAGCAGAGACACUAAACUUGAAAUGAUACAGAUUCACGUGGCCCCUGAGCAAAGAUAACAUGCAGAUUCAUGAAGUGGUCCAUAUUUUC